UACGUAGGUGGCAAGCGUUGUCCGGAUUUAUUGGGUUUAAAGGGUGCGUAGGCGGCCCUGUAAGUCAGUGCUGAAACAUCCCGGCUUAACCGGGAGGGUGGCAUUGAUACUGCAGGGCUUGAGUAAAGUUGAGGUUGGCGGAAUUGACGGUGUAGCGGUGAAAUGCGCAGAUAUCAGGAGGAACACCGGUGGCGAAGGCGGCAUCCUGGACCGGCAUUGACGCUGAGGCGCGAAAGCUAGGGGAGCAAACGGG
rnacentral:rRNA from 1 species